rnacentral:lncRNA from 1 species
CCUCUCCCCGAUCUUCAUUUGCUUGGUUCACAAUACAGCAGCCGCAAAGAUCAUGUAGGUGACCACUGCCCACUCAUUUGAAUCGAUUAUGGUGGUUUUUGUUGACAUUAGCAUACAUUGCGUAUUGAUCCAUGUUAGUUCAACGCAAACUGGUUGUUGAAAACAAGGCUUUGCUCUGUAUGUUUCUUGUUUUUUUAUAUUACUUAACCAGAAAGAAACCAUUUUAACAAGUAUAAUUACUCUUUGAAUUUGACAUAUGAAGCAUGCAACUCUUAUUCGUGCAUUUUAACUUUGGUAGUUUAUAUAUUUUAACUGGCCCCUCCUCCUAAUCAGGCCAUCUUUUUAACUCGAAACAAUGGAUGAGGACGGUUAUAUUUUCUCAGCAGGGCGGGCGGGUGUAGUAACCGUAACUUUCGUAUGGUGUUUGUGAUGGCCUAAUAAUAUUAAGUGAUUAUUUCACCUUUUCUUCUUUUACUUUUGGGGCUUAUAAGUAGUUAUCAAGGUUUGACAGCAAAAUCGUGUUCAUUGGCUCUCCGGUAAAGCAAUGCUGACGCCUCCACCCUGUUUUACCAAAAACACACGUCAAAAUCCAUUUCAAUAACACCAAAAUCAACUAUAACUAAAACCUUCUUUUUUCAUACCAGCCAGGAUGCACUACGGGUCUACCUGUCGCAAGUGCCCAAUUAACCUGACACCAAAACAUCCGAAUCAAACCUACAAUACCCACUGCAGUAAUAAAGUCAGUAACAACAACAUACCUUAUCAGUGCCAAGAGAAUUAGCAACCACGUGGGUAACCUGUUCAUCGAUUUGAUUGGUGCAAACGGCACCGAAUUGCUCAGCCGUCUGCCAUAAUGGGUGUAAGUGAGGACUAGCUUCACCGACCGGAAACACCCUACUGAAUAAUAUUCGACACCCACCUAAAAUCUUUCUCUGCUCUGAUGCUAGUAUGUUUCUAGCAUCGGCUUCAUCUAAAGAUUUUUCCGAGAAAAACAGUUGAUGUAUUUUCUCAAUAACCUAAAGCAAGUAGGCGGUAUUAGAACAGACAUAGCAAACUGUUUCGUUUGAAAAGUUGGAUUAUAAGAGUAUACCGCCAAAGCAGACGCCAGAGACCCGUCUUCUGGUCUCUCGUCAUGAUCAAUCUCGAGAAGUGAAGGACCCGGAAGUCCAAAUUGCCGCCUACUACAUGGAAAAUAUAUAUAUCUGCAAUGCAUAUUUAUAUAUUAGAGAAACAACAUAUGAGUUAGACAGCAAUCUAUGUAUACAGUAUACCUUUCUACAACUAUCAAGUUGAGUUUGUUAUGAGGCCAGACUCUUAUAGAAUCGUCUAUAAUUACAACCGAAGACUCCAUACCCAAAACCCCUUCCAAAUCCUUGCUUUUGGGAUCACCGUCAACGUUAUCACCAUGAUCACCCCUUGAAAUAACUCGCCCGUUAAAUAAAACUCCUUUUGGAUCAAGCACUUUGGCCAUUUCUGUAGCGUAUACUUUGUUUCCCAUUGUGUAAAGAUGAAGCUCAUAAAGCUUACUGGCCUGAGGAUCGGGAACAGAAUGGAUUAAAGAUUGGACACAAAUAGUUUCGGGAUUGAGUAACUAAUUUUUCAUUAAACGAAACGCUUACCUUCUCUAGAAAGUUCCAAACCCCGGGCCGAAGUUUGGUCCACAAACCCAUGUGUGGAAAUCUAAAAAGAUGCCUAUGUGGCUUGUCCCGGUCUUGUUCUUCUUUCUUUUUUAACAUCUCAUCGUGCACUGGUUCGAUUUCGGAAAACUGGAAGCAUCGAUAUGUAUUUUAAAUACAGAUUUCUCGGUAUAUUAACUUGAAUCAUCAAAUAGAAAAACGAAAAAAAACUACCUUGGCGGAAUUUAAAAGGGUGUGAUCAAGAUCUAAGACGAGGCAUAGUUUACGGUCAGCGAACAUCUUUUUCUGUUCUUCCAUUCUUUUAGAUCUUUCCUUCUGAAUAGCAGCCCGUUGUUGGUCAUCAAACCUUCCGUAUAUUUGUUCAACGUCUCCCCACACAUUAUGUGAUUGGGCUGGGCCAAGGCCCGGAGAAACUUCUCCAGACGUGGGCCUAGUCCCGUUCUGAAGGUGGCCCGGAUGUGAAGACGGUCCUUUUAUAUUUACGAAACUUGAAUAGACUGGUGAUGUUUGCGAUGAAGGUAUUUGAAUAGAUGCGCUUGUGGUUGUUGAUACAACAUCAGCUGUGUUCUUCAAAUUUUUAGUGAAUUGUCGGGUGAUAUCAGGUGCUGAUAUAGGUUGAGAUGAUACUCUCGGAUCUGCAUGCUUUGAAAUUCCCUUAUCACCCGCAACAAUUGAUGGAUUGGUGAUUGGUUCUUGUUUUUGUAAUAACUUACCGUGCAAGGCACGGCGAGGAUCACGAGGUUUCAUUCUUAAUUUCUGGUCAUCCUGUAAGACAUAAAAAAAAAUAAGUAACGUAACCCCAUAUUAAAUACACAACAUAUAUUAAUGGUUCAAAAAAUCUUUUUUUAAAGAAAGGCUAAAACUGACCGUUGAAGGUGUAUGCGGUCUUUGCAUCUCAUCUGUUGACUUUUUCCCGACCAUCAAUGACUGAGAGGCACCUGUACCCAUUGUCGUAGAGCCCAAAAGAAAACUUUGGCUUGUUUGUGUCACACGGUUUCCACGAUCAACUGACCUCUGUUGUUCGGUACUGAUUAAAUUCAUCCACUGUAUAGGAUUUACCGCAAUAUCUUUUAGAAUAGAUUGCAAGGAUGCUGAGGUGGAAUUAACGCCUGUAACAGGAAUAUGCACACUCCCACUACUCGUACUGGGUAAAGCAGAUGUUGGUAUAACAUUUUCUAAGCUUCUAGCUUGUGAGACAGCCGUACCACUCCUAGGAUUACCAGACUCUAAAAAUUCAAUUUUUGGCCUUUUUGGUGUGGGCCCGUCUACCAGAACAGGCUCGUCAAAAGUCUUCUGCUUUCUUGAACCUUGUAAUCCAUUAAGUGGCUCGAUUAUAGGUUGUUUACGGGACAAUGGUACUUUGACUUGGUUGACUUCCGAAGAGCUUCCGGGAUUGGCUAACCGGAGUCUGGGGUCCCUUGUUUUGUUUGAAACCCUAGUUACGGAACUAGAUGUGGAAUACACAGGAGCAACGUAACUCGCAUUUGCUUGUAACUGAACAUUACGUAUUUCCGGAAUACUAACAACAGAAACUACAGAACUUGAAUUCUGA